UGCAUACUUCCAGGCUCAGACUAGCCGGUCCACAUAGUCCCUUAGAAACUUCUUAUCCAGAGAGAAGAUAAGGUGUUCAUUAUGCAGCCCUCACUUGAGCACUGACAUUGUUACCAAUUGGUCGAGGCUUCAUACCUCGAGCAUAGUGGCAUUGAAGUGCAUGAUAUAGUCAUGCAGUGACUUGCCUUCUUUUUGCUGGAGACAGAAGAGACU
rnacentral:lncRNA from 1 species